UGUUCUCUUUGUGUUGCCAUCUGUUGGAUCAGUGUGUGUUGUGGUUCUACUGGUGUUAUUGGUUCUGCUGGUGAAACGAUGUGUUCACAGGAAACCUGAAGCAGAUCAAGAAAAAACUGGAGAAGAUGACAUCCUUACUGACAUCAUGUGCAGUAUAAUCAACAUAUCAAAAAAUCAACAAGCGCCAAUCAGAGAAAUCCGAGAGACGGAUUCAGAUGCAGUCUACUCAGCAGUGAAAACUAAAAAUGACAGUUAUGGACAAAAAACUAUCAGAACAAGAAGGGCCAGACUUUAAACCAGAGCCAGACGUUGUCUACUCUUCACUGAAGUUGUCAACCAGUCCAGCCACUGACGUCCAGCUGCUGGUCUCUAACUGGGC